GUGCAAAUGCUACAAGAAAAUGACAUUAGCAAGAAUCGACCACUGGACGAGGGUACAAGACAGGAUUGCUACCAUUAAGCUAGAGAAUGCACAUUUAUAUACUCUUAAAGACAAAUGUCGGUGCCACCGACAAAUGACCAUUUUACCCUUUUGUCUUUUCUAUGGCUGGAGACCUUUGUCUUUACCACAGACCAUCAUCCUCUGUAACCUCUCAUCCUCUGCAGAUCUCAUUUUUCCAAACCUUGAGCUUCUUCCCCCCAAAUAUGAGCCUUCUCCCCCCAAAAUUUUCAGCAACACACAUCGAUCUCUUCCUUACCGCCACUUUUACUACGUUCUUCAAUACACACCCGUUUCUCCUCUCACCUGGAACCCUAACCAACCGGCGGCAACCUUUACCCCACACGAAAACCCUAAUUACUAACCGGCGGCAACCAUUUCCUUACCUAACCUGCAAAAACCCUAAUUACCUAACCGGCGAAAACCCCAAUCACCUAACCUGCGGCUACAAACCCUAAUCGGAGUGUAAUAGGAGGAGAUUGUUGUUCUACCUUUUCACUUGAGCUUGAACCGAGACGAAUAUAGUUUCAUUUAUAAAUAAUCAACAUUGAAUGCGCUUCAGAGUUCACACGAACGCAACUGACUUUUACAGGUUUGUUCUUCGUAUCCGGAUACUAACAUAAAGUUUGCUGAAAUUAACAAUGCUUAUUUAUGAAGUGUUGUCCAACAGCGAAAAGAGGAGUAUUUACGACCGGUACGGUGAGGAAGGGCUUAAACAGCAUGCUGCUGGUGGCGGAGGAGGGGGCGGAGGGAUGAAUAUUCAGGACGUUUUUAAGUCGUAAGAUUUCGCUUUCAUAUCUUAAUAUAAGUUUAACCAUAGUGUCAUUAUUACAUAAUAUUUUUGGCAUUGGUUUUAGUUCACAAAUUUCUUUAAUUAUACCUUCACUGAAGAGUAUUAGUAUAGGCAUGUAAGUGUCAUUUGUAAUAAACCAUGUGCUUGGUUAGCUGGCAGGUGUUUGGGACUGGCGGACCGGAGUUUUUUUUUUUCAGCGGUAUCACUAAUAUUCAGUGUUCGAUGUCUAUCACUAGAUUAUAGAAUGUUUGGACCAGUUCAUAAAUGGGUCGGGUAACAUAAUAUAGAUAUAAUGUAAUACGAAAUCCUUUAAAAAAAUACAUGAUAAAAACAUGAAGCGAUCAGACUUUCGACAAUCCAAAUUAGUAAUUAAUUUCAUUCGAUGGCAAUGUAAUUUUUUUAAGUAAAGAGUCGGGUCAAGUGUACAGUAUAAAUACGAGUUACUUCAACUUUCGACGCCGCCGCAACGCGCGGCGGGUCAAAAUCCUAGUGUUUGAUAUAUUCAAAGUGUUGUUUUUACUUUUUUUAUAUUUAUGUUUAUUUUUUUUAAUGUGCCUUAAUCAGGUGGAGGCCCAAAUCAAUAGCUUGGGUACACUCUUCAUUGGGCUGACCCUGGUUAUAAGUAUGUACUCUAUAGACUAUAAUAAUAAAUGUUUUGAUUAACCAAUGGGGUGGUGGUCCAUUGACAAAGACAAAACAUUUAAACACCUUGGGAGAGGAAGGUCUCGUGUUCAAGUCCCACAGACGACAGGAAUAAAAGAAAUUUGUCAUUCAAAAAAAAAAAUGUUUUGAUUACCUAUAUUUUGCAAAUUAAAUAUAAACUUGAUUGGAGUGUAACAUUAUGAGUUUGUAAAAGUUUUGUUUUAAGAUUUCAUCUAAAACAAUUAUGUGGUAUUUGAUUACAUCAUGUUUCAGGAUUGUGGGGGUGAGACAUGCCAAUAGCGGAUGAUAGUUAGGUACCGGUUAGUUUGAUGGUAGUUGUAGAUUAAAACAAUGUUAUUUUUUAUGGGUUAUAUUUGUAUGUUCUGUAGAUCAUAUAGAUCGACUGGAUAUUAAGUUUCAAUUUAUUUUUAACCUUUUCUUGUCUGUUGUUA